rnacentral:snRNA from 1 species
UUACUUUUCCAAGCAAUUAAGCUUUGAUCAAGUGUAGUAUCUGUUCUAUUAAAGUUAAACCUUUAAUUACGAUGUUUACCAUCGUAUUAGUUUAACCAAAUUUUUCUGGAGGGCUGAGGAACCGGGCUUGCUCGGCCUCAGCGAGCGUGGCUUGUCGAUUGCAUUUACCCGCAAGACGCGCACCUCUU